UACGAAGGGGGCUAGCGUUGCUCGGAAUCACUGGGCGUAAAGGGUGCGUAGGCGGGUCUUUAAGUCAGGGGUGAAAUCCUGGAGCUCAACUCCAGAACUGCCCUUUGAUACUGAAGAUCUUGAGUUCGGGGAGAGGUGAGUGGAACUGCGAGUGUAGAGGUGAAAUUCGUAGAUAUUCGCAAGAACACCAGUGGCGAAGGCGGCUCACUGGCCCGAUACUGACGCUGAGGCACGAAAGCGUGGGAG
rnacentral:rRNA from 1 species